GCGGCGGUAGUAUAGUGGUUAGUAUGCGGCGUUGCCAACGCUGGGACACGGGUUCGAAUCCCGUCCGCCGCA
rnacentral:tRNA from 1 species